rnacentral:rRNA from 1 species
UUCUUCCUACGGGAGGCAGCAGUGGGGAAUAUUGCACAAUGGGGGGAACCCUGAUGCAGCGACGCCGCGUGAAGGAAGAAGUAUUUCGGUAUGUAAACUUCUAUCAGCAGGGAAGAAAAUGACGGUACCUGACUAAGAAGCCCCGGCUAACUACGUGCCAGCAGCCGCGGUAAUACGUAGGGGGCAAGCGUUAUCCGGAUUUACUGGGUGUAAAGGGAGCGUAGGCGGCAGUGCAAGUCAGAAGUGAAAGCCCAAGGCUCAACCAUGGGACUGCUUUUGAAACUGUACAGCUAGAUUGCAGGAGA